GCCGGGCUUGGUGGUGCACCCCUGUAAUCCCAGCAGCUCGUGAGGCUGAGACAGGAGGAUCAUGAGUUCAAAGCCAGCUUCCGCAGUGGUGAGGUGCUAAGCAACUCAGUGAGACCCUGUCUCUA
rnacentral:sRNA from 1 species